rnacentral:rRNA from 1 species
GACGUAGGGCGCAAGCGUUGUCCGGAUUUAUUGGGCGUAAAGCGCGCGCAGGCGGUCUUUUAAGUCUGAUGUGAAAUCUCGCGGCUCAACCGCGAGCGGUCAUUGGAAACUGGGAGACUUGAGUACAGAAGAGGAGAGUGGAAUUCCACGUGUAGCGGUGAAAUGCGUAGAUAUGUGGAGGAACACCAGUGGCGAAGGCGACUCUCUGGUCUGUAACUGACGCUGAGGCGCGAAAGCGUGGGGAGCAAACAGG